rnacentral:rRNA from 1 species
GAUGAACGCUGGCGGUAGGCCUAACACAUGCAAGUCGAACGGCAGCACAGGAGAGCUUGCUCUCUGGGUGGCGAGUGGCGGACGGGUGAGGAAUACAUCGGAAUCUACUCUGUCGUGGGGGAUAACGUAGGGAAACUUACGCUAAUACCGCAUACGACCUACGGGUGAAAGCAGGGAACCUUCGGGCCUUGCGCGAUUGAAUGAGCCGAUGUCGGAUUAGCUAGUUGGCGGGGUAAAGGCCCACCAAGGCGACGAUCCGUAGCUGGUCUGAGAGGAUGAUCAGCCACACUGGAACUGAGACACGGUCCAGACUCCUACGGGAGGCAGCAGUGGGGAAUAUUGGACAAUGGGCGCAAGCCUGAUCCAGCCAUACCGCGUGGGUGAAGAAGGCCUUCGGGUUGUAAAGCCCUUUUGUUGGGAAAGAAAUCCAGCUGGCUAAUACCCGGUUGGGAUGACGGUACCCAAAGAAUAAGCACCGGCUAACUUCGUGCCAGCAGCCGCGGUAA